UAAAGCGAGGAGGAGGCAAGAGUGGCCGCCGCUGCUUCCUAUUUCUUUCUAGCGUAGCCGAAAAGAGUGGGAGUGCGCGCCGCGCGCGAGUGGGAGGCGAGGGGGGCAGGCCAGGGAGAGGCGCAGGAGCCUUCGCAGCCACGCGCGCGCCUUCUGGGUCUUGCGGUGUGCUCGUCGCGGUAGCGGGCGCGCGGCGGCGGGGAUACCUUCGCUGCUAGUUGGGGCUCGCGGCAGCGGCGCGGGUGUCGUCUCGGCGGCGGCGGCGGUAGCACCAUGUCGGAGGAGCAGUUCGGCGGGGACGGGGCGGCGGCCACGGCGGCGGUGGGCGGCUCGGCGGGCGAGCAGGAGGGCGCCAUGGCGGCGACCACGCAGGGGGCAGCGGCGGCGGCGGCGGGCGGCGGAGCCGGGGCCGGGGCCGGAGCGGCAGCCGGAGGCCCGGAGGGCGGCAGCUCGGAGUCCGAGGGCGCGAAGAUCGACGCCAGCAAGAACGAGGAGGACGAAGGCCAUUCAAACUCCUCCCCACGACACACUGAAGCAGCGACGGCACAGCGGGAAGAAUGGAGUGACAGCAACUUGAAAAUCAGUCUGUAUUCAAGGCAGCGGAGGAAAAUGUUUAUAGGAGGCCUUAGCUGGGACACUACAAAGAAAGAUCUGAAGGACUACUUUUCCAAAUUUGGUGAAGUUGUAGACUGCACUCUGAAGUUAGAUCCUAUCACAGGGCGAUCAAGGGGUUUUGGCUUUGUGCUAUUUAAAGAGUCGGAGAGUGUAGAUAAGGUCAUGGAUCAGAAAGAACAUAAAUUGAAUGGAAAGGUGAUUGAUCCUAAAAGGGCCAAAGCCAUGAAAACAAAAGAGCCUGUUAAAAAAAUUUUUGUUGGUGGCCUUUCUCCAGAUACACCUGAAGAAAAAAUAAGGGAGUACUUUGGUGGUUUUGGUGAGGUGGAAUCCAUAGAACUCCCCAUGGACAACAAAACCAAUAAGAGGCGUGGAUUCUGCUUUAUUACCUUUAAAGAAGAAGAACCAGUGAAGAAGAUAAUGGAAAAGAAAUACCACAAUGUUGGGCUUAGUAAAUGUGAAAUAAAAGUAGCAAUGUCGAAGGAGCAGUACCAGCAACAACAGCAGUGGGGUUCAAGAGGAGGAUUUGCAGGAAGAGCUCGUGGGAGAGGUGGUGGCCCCAGUCAAAACUGGAACCAGGGAUAUAGUAACUAUUGGAAUCAAGGCUAUGGCAACUAUGGAUAUAACAGCCAAGGUUACGGUGGUUAUGGAGGAUAUGACUACACUGGUUACAACAACUACUAUGGAUAUGGUGAUUAUAGCAACCAGCAGAGUGGUUAUGGAAAAGUAUCCAGGCGAGGUGGUCAUCAAAAUAGCUACAAACCAUACUAAAUUAUUCCGUUUGCAACUUAUCCCCAACAGCGGGAGCUUCAUUGCAGGCCCUGUGUCGCGCUGACUUCACGAUUCUCACAGGCCCGCUCAAUGCGGACAGGGUACGAGAUGCUCACGCUCUCGAAUGCUGCCGUUUGGUGGUGAAGCAGUAUUUUCCAAUUUGAAGAUUCAUUUGAAGGUGGCUCCUGCCACCUGCUAAUAGCAGUUCAAACUAAAUUUUUUGUAUCAAGUCCCCGAAUGGAAGUAUGACGUUGGGUCCCUCUGAAGUUUAAUUCUGAGUUUUCAUUAAAAGAAAUUUGCUUUCAUUGUUUUAUUUCUUAAUUGCUAUGCUUCAGAAUCAAUUUGUGUUUUAUGCCCUUCCCCCAGUAUUGUAGAGCAAGUCUUGUGUUAAAAAGCCCAGUGUGACAGUGUCAUGAUGUAGUAGUGUCUUACUGGUUUUUUAAUAAAUCCUUUUGUAUAAAAA